CACACUCCACUCCCUCCUACCUUCCUCCCCCUUCCUCCCCACGAGCUGUUGCUCCUUCUUAGCUCCAUGGCCGGCCAUGGCCAUGGAAAGCCACCAAGAUGAAGCUCCCCUCCUUCCUCAAGCUUCCCCUCACCAUGAGAGCAUCCCUCUCACUCUCUUCUCACCUAAUCUUGGAUGAGUCCAGCUCACUUUCUCCUUUCUCCUCUCACUAGAUUGGAUCUUGAUGCAGGUGCAUGUUGGUCCAAGCAUGGAGAAGGUUGAGCUAUCCUCAGAUCUGAAGUUCUUGAGCAAAAUCCAAAUCGAGUGAUUCAAAAUUCCACAGAUAGAUCAACAUCUGGUCAGAUCUGACUUUGUCGAAUUAAACCAGGAGCUUGGAAACGAAUUUUUGAAUGAAACCAAUUGGGGGAUACUUAGUUUGUGCCAUGGUGAUACCUAGAGAGGCAAUUGCUAAGUCGUGGCACUCUCAUACCUUUACUAGAUUGCGAACGAUUCCGGAGAAGAUGAAGAAGUGGAUCGGACAAGGAUUUUAUUUAUAUUGUUGGGAUUCUUACAUUGAUGGAGUUGAAGAAGUACAGGGACAAAUAAGCCAA